rnacentral:lncRNA from 1 species
AUGAGGUCAGUGAGGACCUGCCUCUCCCCAGGCCGGUCGCUAGUCCUGGCGGUGCUCCUGGUUGACUCUCUUGGCAAGGAUUUACUUUUUCACCCUGAGUGGAGCUUUGACUCCUAUGAAAUCACCAUUCCCAAGAAGCUGAGCUUCCGUGGAGGGGAGCAGAGAGCGGCCAGGCACGUGUCCUACCUCCUGCAGGUAAAAGGCAAGAACCGUGUCCUUCAUCUGUGGCCCAAGAGGUUUCUGUUGCCCCGGAAUCUGCAGGUUUUCUCCUUCACAGAACAGGGGAGACUCUUGGAAGAUCACCCUUAUAUACCCAACGACUGCAACUAUAUGGGCUUGGUUGAAGGAAAUCCGGAUUCUGAAGUUACCAUAAGUACAUGCAUGGGAGGUCUCCAGGGCAUCCUGAAAAUUGAUGCCAAUUAUUACCAAAUCGAGCCCCGCAAGGCUUCUUCCAAUUUUGAGCACGUGGUAUAUCUCAUGAAGAAAGAGGAGGAAUUUCCUAAUCAGAUCUGUGGCUUAACUGAUGAUGAAACAGUAGAGCAGAUGGCCCAGCAUGAGAACAUAGCUAGGACACCAGACUUCACUGACUUAUAUAGACAUCAAAUGUACAUGGAAGUAGCACUGGUCUUUGAUAACAGUAGGUAUUUAUUUUCAAACUCCAAUCUUACUCAAGUCAUAAAUGAUGCCAUUCUUCUGACUUCUAUCAUGGACUCUUACUUCCAAGAUAUCCGUCUAAGAAUACAUCUAUUUAGUGUUGAAGUAUGGACAGAUAAUGACAAAAUUAGAGUUAAUUUUUCAAAGAUAGAGCAAGUUUUAAGCCAGUUUUUGGUAUACCGAACAAGUGUACUAAAUACUCGGGUUUCAGUUGAUUGGGUACACCUAUAUCUUAAAAGAACUUUUUCAGAUUUACUUGCACAGUCCGGGGGACAUGCGUGUAGUCGGUUUUAUGCUGGAUCUGUAAGUGUUUUUCCAGAUGUAAAUAUCCUUGCACCCGCUACUUGGUCCACUCAUGUACUGGGACACAGUGUGGGAAUGCUACAUGAUGAAGAAUUCUGCCAAUGUAAGGGAAGGUAUAGCUGCAUCAUGGGUACUGGGCGAUAUGGGUUUAGUAAUUGUAGUUAUGCCCAUUAUUUUGCACACAUAUAUAGAGCUUCAAAUGCAAGGUGUCUAACUAAUCUCCCAGGCCUAGGCUACGUGCUUGAGAGAUGUGGAAACAAAAUUGUGGAAGAGAAUGAGGAAUGUGAUUGUGGUUCGACAGAAGAGUGUGAAGAAGACAGGUGUUGUCAACCAGAUUGUAAACUCAAAGAAGGAGCCAGCUGUAGCACUGGACUUUGUUGUCAUAACUGUCAGUUUCGUCCGUCUGGAUACAUGUGUCGGGUGGAAGAAAAUGAAUGUGACCUUGCAGAGUAUUGCAAUGGGACCUCAGGUUUCUGUCCAAGUGAUACUUAUAAGCAGGAUGGAACCCCUUGCAAGUACGAAGCCCAUUGUUUCAAACAGAGUUGUCAAUCCAGGUAUAUGCAGUGCCAAAAAAUUUUUGGACUUGAUGCCAAGGAUGCUCCUCAUCAGUGCUAUGAUGCAGUUAAUUUAUUAGGUGACCAAUAUGGGAACUGUGGGAUUUCAGGGCUUCGUGAUUUUAGAAAGUGUACCAAGCGAAAUUCAAUAUGUGGCAGGCUACAGUGCAUAAAUGUCGAAACUCUCCCUCAAAUGCCAGAUCACACUAUCCUAAUAUCCACUCACCUGCAUGAAGAAAAUCUCAUGUGCUGGGGCAUUGGCUAUCAUCUAGCCAUGGUACCUAUGGGGUUACCUGACCUGGGCGUGAUAAAUGAUGGUACCUCCUGUGGUAAGGAGCGGGUGUGUAUUAAUAGAUACUGUGUGAAUAGCUCAGUCCUGAAAUUUGACUGUUUCCCUGAGAAGUGCAACCGCCGAGGAGUUUGCAACAAUAACAAAAACUGCCACUGCAUGUAUGGUUGGGCCCCUCCGCUGUGUGAGGAGGUAGGAUAUGGAGGAAGCAUCGACAGUGGGCCUCCAGGACCGCUAAGGAAGGAGGUGUCUGCCUCAUUUCAGGUUGUGAUUCUUAUAUUAACACGCCUUGUUUUCUUAAUUAUCUCAGUGAUUGUUGUGUUUUAUAGGAAAAUCAUAGAAAGCUGA